rnacentral:rRNA from 1 species
UACGGGGGGGGGUAAGCGUUGUUCGGAAUUACUGGGCGUAAAGGGCUCGUAGGCGGCCAACUAAGUCGGACGUGAAAUCCCUCAGCUUAACUGGGGAACUGCGUCCGAUACUGGAUGGCUUGGAUUUGGGAGAGGGAUGCGGAAUUCCAGGUGUAGCGGUGAAAUGCGUAGAUAUCUGGAGGAACACCGGUGGCGAAGGCGACUCACCGUGCCUGUUCUUGACGCUGAGGCG